rnacentral:misc_RNA from 1 species
CGUGCGAGGAAUGUAUCGCGGAACGGUAAAUCGACUGACGAAUUUCGCUGCGAAACCGUCGGGGACGCUGCCGAACACGCACGACAAAGAUACUCUCACUCUUCACUAUUAAUAGACGGGCCUUCUCCUGCCGUGGGUUAUUUUCAAGUCCACUCUUGCUGUCUGCGCGCUCGCUGUCCGAAAUCAAAACAGAGAAAUACGGCCGUACGCGCGCGCUUUUUAACCACGAACACCAACCUUUCGUUCACGAGUAUUCUUACGAUUCGUAGAAACGAUUCUUUUUUACGGUAUUUCAAUUGACAAUCUUACUUUAGAUUUCAAGAGAAUAGAAUGUGAAACCGGUGUAUCUAUGAGAUAUCCAAGUAUUAUAUUAUCUUUUGAGAAGUUGAUUGAACGAGCGUAGUUUUACGAUUGGAUGUAGAUUUUUGUCAUAUGUCUGUUCUCUGACAUAAAGACGACAUAUCCUAAAAUAAGGGUAUAAUAUAUAUGACGAACGAAGCAGGUACUUAAUAGGCCAUGCGCCGGAUUUAUAUACAAACAGCUUAAACCAUCCGAUCUACACCGUCGCGGAGAUUUGUAUCACGGUAUAUGCAAACUCUGCUCUCGCCCACGGUAUUAUUUUGGGAUUUGACUAAUCCCGUGAGAGGGCAUGGACCAGCAUGGUGAUGAUCAGCGUCUCGCUUUUGAGUUAGCCGAUACCAACUCACGAACGAAUUUGCUAACGACGUACUGCUAUUUCGACAACGUUUCAACGAUUAUCAAACAAUCGAGCGAACCGCGAACACAUGUAGCUCGCAAGCUUUCGAUUGUCAAGGCUCGAUUGCAUUAAGCUUUCCGGUAGAGAGGCACCGAGUUUAAUCGGUAAAUCCUGGCAAUUUUGAUGUCCGUGAAAUAACCCCGGUAUCCCCAGUGGUAAUGAUAUGGACAGGAUAUCAAUACGCUCUGUUACAGACACCGAGCACCGUUGCCUGCCGGCUAUCGACCGUAAAUUGUGACACGAUUAAUAAUUGAGCGUACUUUUACAACGAUCUCUUCACUAUUCGCUUUGUACAAAAGAAUAAAGAAUGUCC